rnacentral:rRNA from 1 species
CUCAGUUCGGAUCGGAGUCUGCAACCCGACUCCGUGAAGCUGGAUUCGCUAGUAAUCGCGCAUCAGCCAUGGCGCGGUGAAUACGUUCCCGGGCCUUGUACACACCGCCCGUCAAGCCAUGGGAGCCGGGGGGUGCUUGAAGUGCGUCGCCGCAAGGCGCGCCCUAGAGCAAAACCGGUGACUGGGGCUAAGUCGUAACAAGGUAUC